rnacentral:tRNA from 1 species
GAGAAUGUGGCUCAGUGAUAGAGUAUGUGCCUAGAAUGCUCAAGGCCCUUGGUUCCAUUCCCAGCAUUAACA